rnacentral:misc_RNA from 1 species
GAUGAAGAACGCAGCGAAAUGCGAUAAGUAAUGUGAAUUGCAGAAUUCAGUGAAUCAUCGAAUCUUUGAACGCACCUUGCACCCUUUGGCAUUCCGAAGGGUAUGCUCGUUUGAGUGUCAUUGUACUCUCACACUCCCAAUUGCUUUGGAUUGGGAGCGGUGGACUUGGGUGUUGCUGCUUGACUGAGGCUCACCUGAAAUAUGUUAGUGCACCUCUUGAUUGGACAUAGUACGGCGUGAUAAGUGUCUUCGCCGGCUCCUCGCAAAGAGGGUGGCCGAUCGGGAGCUCUGUUGCUUCAAACUGUCUUCGGACAAUCUUCUGGCGACUUGACCUCAAAUCGAGUAGGACUACCCGCUGAACUUAAGCAUAUCAAUAAGCGGAGGA